rnacentral:misc_RNA from 1 species
AUUUCCCCCUGCCUACCUUAAAUUCGAACUAUUUGCAUAAUUUAGUUGGGAGUUAGCAAAGAGCUGAAUGAUAGAAGUUGCUAAUUAGAUGGCAAGAAUUUAAAUUUAUUGAAGCCACUAGCAUGUUUUGAGUUGAUGUCAUGUUAUUGGCUAUGUAAUUAAGUUGAGAGUCAACAGCAAGUACCUGCUUUAGCAUAUUGUUUUCCUAGUUUUACCCUCCUAGGCGAAUUCCUGCAAUUCAUCAGUUUUAGAAAAUGUGAAGGGAUGUGGUGGUGCUUUCAUGCAAUGAUAAACUCUUCCCCUUUUCAAGUUAACUACCUAAUCAUUCUCAGAUGCACAUAAGGUGUAGUUAUGUAUGCUGAUUCUAUAUCCAAGUCUUCUAAAGUAUCUGUCAGCACAGAAUUAUAGAACAGCAUAUAUUUAUGAAGAUUUUACGGUGUUAUAUAUGCCAGUCUUCCACUUCAAACUAUGCAAAAAAUCAUGCUGAUAAGUAGUUAUUGUUCAACUAACAUACUCUCAUAUGUUAGUCCUUUCUGAGUGGACAAAGCCAUGUGGCUGCAGGUACAACUUAAGCCA